GGUACCCUUAUUUUUCUGUUCCACAUCGCGGCCGCCGGCUACUCUUCUUCACCGAAGCCGGCAGCGUCGAGGAGGACGCGGAGGUGGAAGAGGAGAUCGCGCUGGACUCCGACGGUAGCGGGGUCCCGGUCCGCCACGUCUCCGGAGGGUACUCAUCGCCCUCGUCCUUCUUCCGCCAGGGCCCAGCUACGGGAUAUCUGAAUUUCCUCUUCAUGUUAUAUUCGAAGUCUAGCUGAGCGAAGUCUGCAAUUGUACUGGUGCAUAUGUGUUCGCCAAUUCUGCAUUAGGGACAUGCCCACCGUCCUUGACACCUACUGGCUAGUGCAGGUCACAGCUAUCUCUCAUCCGCUUCUAGAUAAAGCAAAACUCAGUCAGCCGGUCAUCCUCAUUUACUUCCUGUGACUCCACCACUGCCGGACACCGCAGGCCUGCUCCUCUGCCUUCACGCCGCUAGCCUCGACGGCCAGAUCCUCCAUUUGCUCCCUCCAGGCGAGAGUAAAGCAAUGUGAAUAACUGAGUCAGUCUUUCUGCUAGUUGUGAACUGUGUGCUUUCUUAUCUGAUAUGCAGGAAUCGAUGGAAAUUAGUGAGAUGGAGACCAAUUUUGAUCAUGCUUGCCCUACACCUCGCUGAGCUGUGAUGAACUGCUACAUUGAGCUGGCGAUGGAUGUCUAUAUUCCUAGUUUAGUGGCAGCAUUUGCAAUGACAUCAGAGGUUUUAAGCUACUGAAGUCUAAACUCUUAAGCACGGUGAUCUUGGAAUCACCUUGAAGAAUUGGAGAAGCUAGAAGUGGUCGAGAUGUCCUUGGAGGAGUUGGAUGCUGUCAAGGUGGGUGAAGAUGGAGGCGACGGCCUGGGGCCUACCCAAAUCCCGUCGGGCAACGCGUGGUCGCCGGCGUGCAGGGUGGGGGCACCCCGCCGAAAUCGCAUCGGCCAGGGCAAGGUCGGAAAGGGCAGGGCGCCGGCGGCGUGCGGACGGUGAGCUCGGAUGCGUCGGCGGCGUACAGUGUGCGGCGGCGUGCACGGGCGUUGUCGGGUAGCAUGUAGCGUGGCUGCGUUUGAUGGAGAAGUCGAAAAAUCGUGCGUAGCGGUUAUUCUUUUGUUAUUCUUUUGCUCUGGUUUCGCUGUUAUCGUGGGAUGUGGGAGGUGGGGGUGUAACACUUGUUUUAAGGUAAAUCUGAGCCGGUGGUUUCCGCGAUUGUAUGGUCAAGAUCGUUUGGAUCUGCCGCUCUCUCUCUUUUAAUAGUAGUGGAGAUGACAACUUUGUAAUUUCAUCACUUUGCAAGGAUUGCAUUUUUGGUUUAA